GAUGAACGCUGGCGGCGUGCCUAAUACAUGCAAGUCGAGCGAACGGACGAGAAGCUUGCUUCUCUGAUGUUAGCGGCGGACGGGUGAGUAACACGUGGAUAACCUACCUAUAAGACUGGGAUAACUUCGGGAAACCGGAGCUAAUACCGGAUAAUAUUUUGAACCGCAUGGUUCAAAAGUGAAAGAGGUCUUGCCGUUACCUAUAGGUGGAUCCGCGCUGCAUUAGCUAGUUGGUAAGGUAACGGCUUACCAAGGCAACGAUGCAUAGCCGACCUGAGAGGGUGAUCGGCCACACUGGAACUGAGACACGGUCCAGACUCCUACGGGAGGCAGCAGUAGGGAAUCUUCCGCAAUGGGCGAAAGCCUGACGGAGCAACGCCGCGUGAGUGAUGAAGGUCUUCGGAUCGUAAAACUCUGUUAUUAGGGAAGAACAUAUGUGUAAGUAACUGUGCACAUCUUGACGGUACCUAAUCAGAAAGCCACGGCUAACUACGUG
rnacentral:rRNA from 1 species